AUUGAACGCUGGCGGCAUGCUUUACACAUGCCAGUCGAACGGCAGCGCGGGGCAACCUGGCGGCGAGUGGCGAACGGGUGAGUAAUACAUCGGAACGUACCCAGAAGUGGGGGAUAACGUAGCGAAAGUUACGCUAAUACCGCAUACGUUCUACGGAAGAAAGUGGGGGACCUUCGGGCCUCAUGCUUUUGGAGCGGCCGAUGUCUGAUUAGCUAGUUGGUGAGGUAAAGGCUCACCAAGGCGACGAUCAGUAGCUGGUCUGAGAGGAUGACCAGCCACACUGGGACUGAGACACGGCCCAGACUCCUACGGGAGGCAGCAGUGGGGAAUUUUGGACAAUGGGCGCAAGCCUGAUCCAGCAAUGCCGCGUGAGUGAAGAAGGCCUUCGGGUUGUAAAGCUCUUUUGUCAGGGAAGAAACGGCUGAGGAUAAUACCUUCGGCUAAUGACGGUACCUGAAGAAUAAGCACCGGCUAACUACGUG
rnacentral:rRNA from 1 species